GCGAAUGUAGUUUAGUGGUAAAACCCCUGCCUUCCAAGCAGAUGUUGCGGGUUCGAUUCCCGCCAUUCGCUUCA
rnacentral:tRNA from 1 species